AGACGUCUACAUUUAGAUACCCCCGGUAGUCCCAGCCGUAAACUAUGCUCGCUAGGUGUCAGGCAUGGCGCGACCGUGUCUGGUGCCGCAGGGAAGCCGUGAAGCGAGCCACCUGGGAAGUACGGCCGCAAGGCUGAAACUUAAAGGAAUUGGCGGGGAGCACAACAACGGGUGGAGCCUGCGGUUUAAUUGGAUUCAACGCCGGGAAGCUCACCGGAUAAGACAGCGGAAUGAUUGCCGGGCUGAAGACUCUGCAUGACUAGCUG
rnacentral:rRNA from 1 species